rnacentral:rRNA from 1 species
UCGGGAAUUUUGGGCAAUGGGCGAAAGCCUGACCCAGCAACGCCGCGUGAAGGAUGAAGUAUUUCGGUAUGUAAACUUCGAAAGAAUAGGAAGAAUAAAUGACGGUACUAUUUAUAAGGUCCGGCUAACUACGUGCCAGCAGCCGCGGUAAUACGUAGGGACCAAGCGUUGUUCGGAUUUACUGGGCGUAAAGGGCGCGUAGGCGGCAAUUCAAGUCAUCUGUGAAAUCUCCGGGCUUAACUCGGAACGGUCAGAUGAUACUGCUUUGCUAGAGUGCAGAAGGGGCAAUCGGAAUUCUUGGUGUAGCGGUGAAAUGCGUAGAUAUCAAGAGGAACACCUGAGGUGAAGACGGGUUGCUGGGCUGACACUGACGCUGAGGCGCGAAAGCCAGGGGAGCAAACGGGAUUAGAUACCCCCGUAUUCCCUGAGCGGGCUGGCAAGGCGCAU